GAGGAUCAGGGCUGUGGUGACGCUGCCGGGAAUGCCGAGUGCGAGCAAGGGCAUCAAGGCGCCGCCGUCCUUGGAGUCGUUGGCGGCUUCCGGUGCGAUCACUCCUUCGAUGUUGCCCUUGCCGAAACUCUCUGGGUCCUUGGACGAGUUGACGGCAGCGAAGUAGCUGACCCACGGAGCAACGGAGCCACCGACACCGGGAACGAUGCCGAUUCCCGUCCCGAUCAGGCUGCUGCGGACGAGCAGGAGGGGACGACGCAAGACCGCCAGAAUGCCCUGCUUCACCCCGCCCCCGCUGUACUUGCCCUCCGCGCUGACCGCCUGGUCACGCAUGAGCAGCGCCACGAUCUCUGGCACUGCGAAGAGCCCGAUGAUGGCUGGGACGAUCGGGACGCCGUCG
rnacentral:misc_RNA from 1 species